CGCCGUAGUGUGAAGGAGCGAGUCUUUGCGCUCUGAUAAUAUUCGCAGAGAUAUGCCAAUUACUGUGCGGAUAUACUAUAUGACUUGAAGAUCUUCACACGAACAUUAGCUUUAUCGUCAUUCUCAUGACUACAAUUUAUUGUACAGACGACGCGUAAAAUUCGGGAGUGCCGUUAAAAGUAUUGUACGUACAAGUGCGGGAGUGCCGUUAAAAUUAAGUAUCGCGCGUGUUAAUCAACUUUGACGACUCUGAUAACUUAUUAGAGGAGGAGGAGGUCUGGGAAAGACGUCGGGCACCAGCGCAACAACCAUGGGAUGACCGUAGCUUCAGGUCAAUGCAGUUAACUUCGCUGUUACGCAUCGACCGGUGAGUAAAAA